UACAGAGGUAGCGAACGUUGUCCGGAUUUACUGGGCGUAAAGGGCUUGUAGGUGGCCAUAUAAGUCAGUUGUGAAAUCGUUCUGCUUAACAGAACAAUUGCUUCUGAUACUGUAUGGCUUGAGUGCAGGAAGGGAAAAUGGAAUUUCCGGUGUAGCGGUGAAAUGCGUAGAUAUCGGAAAGAACACCUGUGGCGAAGGCGGUUUUCUGGCCUGCAACUGACACUGAGGAGCGAAAGCUAGGGGAGCAAACAGG
rnacentral:rRNA from 1 species